rnacentral:rRNA from 1 species
UAGGGGGCGAGCGUUAUCCGGAAUUACUGGGUGUAAAGGGAGCGUAGACGGAGUGGUAAGCCUGGAGUGGAAGGCCGCGGCCCAACCGCGGGAGUGCUCUGGGAACUGCCAUGCUGGAGUAUGGGAGGGGUAAGCGGAAUUCCUGGUGUAGCGGUGAAAUGCGUAGAUAUCAGGAGGAACACCGGUGGCGAAGGCGGCUUACUGGACCAUGACUGACGUUGAGGCUCGAAAGCGUGGGGAGCGAAC